rnacentral:rRNA from 1 species
AGAGUUUGAUCCUGGCUCAGAUUGAACGCUGGCGGCAUGCCUUACACAUGCAAGUCGAACGGCAGCACGGGUGCUUGCACCUGGUGGCGAGUGGCGAACGGGUGAGUAAUAUAUCGGAACGUACCCUAGAGUGGGGGAUAACGUAGCGAAAGUUACGCUAAUACCGCAUACGAUCUACGGAUGAAAGUGGGGGAUCGCAAGACCUCAUGCUCAUGGAGCGGCCGAUAUCUGAUUAGCUAGUUGGUGGGGUAAAAGCCUACCAAGGCGACGAUCAGUAGCUGGUCUGAGAGGACGACCAGCCACACUGGAACUGAGACACGGUCCAGACUCCUACGGGAGGCAGCAGUGGGGAAUUUUGGACAAUGGGGGCAACCCUGAUCCAGCGAUGCCGCGUGAGUGAAGAAGGCCUUCGGGUUGUAAAGCUCUUUUGUCAGGGAAGAAACGGGAUUUUCUAAUACAAAGUCCUGAUGACGGUACCUGAAGAAUAAGCACCGGCUAACUACGUGCCAGCAGCCGCGGUAAUACGUAGGGUGCAAGCGUUAAUCGGAAUUACUGGGCGUAAAGCGUGCGCAGGCGGUUGUGCAAGACAGAUGUGAAAUCCCCGGGCUCAACCUGGGAAUUGCAUUUGUGACUGCACGGCUAGAGUGUGUCAGAGGGGGGUAGAAUUCCACGUGUAGCAGUGAAAUGCGUAGAGAUGUGGAGGAAUACCGAUGGCGAAGGCAGCCCCCUGGGAUAACACUGACGCUCAUGCACGAAAGCGUGGGGAGCAAACAGGAUUAGAUACCCUGGUAGUCCACGCCCUAAACGAUGUCUACUAGUUGUCGGGUCUUAAUUGACUUGGUAACGCAGCUAACGCGUGAAGUAGACCGCCUGGGGAGUACGGUCGCAAGAUUAAAGCUCAAAGGAAUUGACGGGGACCCGCACAAGCGGUGGAUGAUGUGGAUUAAUUCGAUGCAACGCGAAAAACCUUACCUACCCUUGACAUGUACGGAACUUACCAGAGAUGGUUUGGUGCUCGAAAGAGAACCGUAACACAGGUGCUGCAUGGCUGUCGUCAGCUCGUGUCGUGAGAUGUUGGGUUAAGUCCCGCAACGAGCGCAACCCUUGUCAUUAGUUGCUACGAAAGGGCACUCUAAUGAGACUGCCGGUGACAAACCGGAGGAAGGUGGGGAUGACGUCAAGUCCUCAUGGCCCUUAUGGGUAGGGCUUCACACGUCAUACAAUGGUACAUACAGAGGGCUGCCAACCCGCGAGGGGGAGCUAAUCCCAGAAAGUGUAUCGUAGUCCGGAUUGUAGUCUGCAACUCGACUACAUGAAGUUGGAAUCGCUAGUAAUCGCGGAUCAGCAUGUCGCGGUGAAUACGUUCCCGGGUCUUGUACACACCGCCCGUCACACCAUGGGAGCGGGCUUCACCAGAAGUAGGUAGCCUAACCGCAAGGAGGGCGCUUACCACGGUGGGAUUCGUGACUGGGGUGAAGUCGUAACAAGGUA